GUACUGGGACAUUCAGAUUGACCUCUGGACUUGCAUUUCCUGCUUCAUGACCCUGGCUGCUUGGCUCACUCGUCCGAACACGGUGGGUGUCCUGGAAUGGGACUGCGUAGCUCAUCUCCUGGGUGAUUGCUGUGACUUGCUCUGUAACGGGAGCUUUCUGCUGCGUUGCUACCUCAUUGAGAGUCUCCGUGUGGCUUACGGGCUCUCCCUCCCUGUCAAUGACCUUGUGCUGUUCUUCCAGAUUCCUCUCCCAAAAACUAGUUCCAGGCUUUCUCCCGAUUUCACUUUCUGCGAUUCUCAGUUGCUGUGAACCGUUUUCGCCAACUGGCUUUUCUUCCAGGCUUUGGCCUUGGUCUUCCUGAUUUACAGAUUCGUCAUGAAGAAUGUCAUCUUUGAGUAC
rnacentral:lncRNA from 1 species